CGCCGGCGACCGGCGCACGGGUGAGUAACACGUAUGCAACCUGCCCGUGGCAGGGGGAUAAGCGGGGGAAACCCCGUCUAAUACCGCGUAACGCGGCCUAGGGACAUCCCAAGGCCGCCAAAGGGAGCAAUCCCGGCCACGGAUGGGCAUGCGGCGCAUUAGCUAGUCGGCGGGGUAACGGCCCACCGAGGCGACGAUGCGUAGGGGUUCUGAGAGGAAGGCCCCCCACACUGGUACUGAGACACGGACCAGACUCCUACGGGAGGCAGCAG
rnacentral:rRNA from 1 species